rnacentral:rRNA from 1 species
UACGGGGGGGGCAAGCGUUGUUCGGAAUUACUGGGCGUAAAGGGCUCGUAGGCGGCCAACUAAGUCGGCCGUGAAAUCCCUCGGCUUAACCGGGGAACUGCGUCCGAUACUGGAUGGCUUGAGUUCGGGAGAGGGAUGCGGAAUUCCAGGUGUAGCGGUGAAAUGCGUAGAUAUCUGGAGGAACACCGGUGGCGAAGGCGGCAUCCUGGACCGACACUGACGCUGAGGAGCGAAAGCCAGGGGAGCAAACGGG